AGUGAACGCUGGCGGUAGGCCUAACACAUGCAAGUCGAACGGCAGCACAGUAAGAGCUUGCUCUUACGGGUGGCGAGUGGCGGACGGGUGAGGAAUACAUCGGAAUCUACUUUUUCGUGGGGGAUAACGUAGGGAAACUUACGCUAAUACCGCAUACGACCUACGGGUGAAAGCAGGGGAUCUUCGGACCUUGCGCGAUUGAAUGAGCCGAUGUCGGAUUAGCUAGUUGGCGGGGUAAAGGGCCACCAAGGCUACGAUCCGUAGCUGGUCUGAGAGGAUGAUCAGCCACACUGGAACUGAGACACGGUCCAGACUCCUACGGGAGGCAGCAGUGGGGAAUAUUGGCCAAUGGGCGCAAGCCUGAUCCAGCCAUACCGCGUGGGUGAAGAAGGCCUUCGGGUUGUAAAGCCCUUUUGUUGGGAAAGAAAAGCAGCAGGUUAAUACCCCGCUGUUCUGACGGUACCCAAAGAAUAAGCACCGGCUAACUUCGUG
rnacentral:rRNA from 1 species